rnacentral:lncRNA from 1 species
AAAUAACAUACAUACAACUCAUAACAUAUACACACAUAUAAACAAUACACAUCAAACACACCUCAUAACAUAUAUACACAACUCAUAACAUAUACACACACACAUAAAUAACAUAUAAACAACACAAAACUCACAACUCACAUAACACACACACAUACAAAUAACAUACUAUACACACAACUCAUAACAUAUACACAUACACAAACACACACAACACACGAACAACACACACUACAUACACAACUCAUAACACACACAUAAACAACACACUACACACACAUAUAACUUAUACACACAAC